GACGUAGGGCGCGAGCGUUUGUCCGGAUUUAUUUGGGCGUAAAGAGCUCGUAGGCGGCUUGUCGCGUCGGCUGUGAAAACCCGCGGCUCAACUGUGGGCGGGGCAGCUGAUACGGGGCAGGCUGGAGUUCGGUAGGGGGAGACUGGAAUUCCUGGUGUAGCGGUGAAAAUGCGCAGAUAUCAGGGAGGGAAACACCCGGGUGGGCGAAAGGGCGGGGGUCUCUGGGGGCCCGAUACUGACGUGAGGGAGCGAAAAAGCGUGGGGGGGAGCGAAACAGGG
rnacentral:rRNA from 1 species